rnacentral:rRNA from 1 species
GAUGAACGCUGGCGGCGUGCCUAAUACAUGCAAGUCGAGCGAACAGACGAGGAGCUUGCUCCUCUGACGUUAGCGGCAGACGGGUGAGUAACACGUGGAUAACCUACCUAUAAGACUGGGAUAACUUCGGGAAACCGGAGCUAAUACCGGAUAAUAUAUUGAACCGCAUGGUUCAAUAGUGAAAGACGGUUUUGCUGUCACUUAUAGAUGGAUCCGCGCCGCAUUAGCUAGUUGGUAAGGUGACGGCUUACCAAGGCAACGAUGCGUAGCCGACCUGAGAGGGUGAUCGGCCACACUGGAACUGAGACACGGUCCAGACUCCUACGGGAGGCAGCAGUAGGGAAUCUUCCGCAAUGGGCGAAAGCCUGACGGAGCAACGCCGCGUGAGUGAUGAAGGUCUUCGGAUCGUAAAACUCUGUUAUUAGGGAAGAACAAAUGUGUAAGUAACUAUGCACGUCUUGACGGUACCUAAUCAGAAAGCCACGGCUAACUACGUG